AGUUGCAAAGCAUGUUGGUCUGGUUUACCACAGAAAAAAAGUGAAGCUUUCAGAGAUCAAAGGCACUCAAAACUGCUCAGAAAAUGUGCAAAAUAAAAGUUCUUCACAACGACCAACAAAGUUAAAUCUUUAAUGCUCUGACAAUCUUUCUGCAUGAGUUUUCUCAAGUCAGAAGUGGAGAAUGUAUCUGUGGAAGAAACUGUUGCCUGUUUAAACAGCUGGAUGUUGGUUUAUGUAGGACAUAGUAACAUUUAGAGAUGGCGUACCUAACAACUAGUAUUUUAUUCUUGUUUGCCUGGUACUCAGUAUUCACAUUUAGAAAGUACUGUUUUUAAAAUCACAGGGUAGACUGCUUCAUCGACAAUACUGAUCAGUAGAUACCAAUACAAUGUUUCCACAGAAAUGUGAUCGUUCGCACUAAGCUUAAGUGUUGUGCCAUUUUACGAUGAACUGUUUUUUUAUGUUCUCAUUUUUAAUACAUACGUCUUGCUGUACCAUUUCGUGUUUUCAUUAGCUGGCUUACCUUACGUUAACUGUUAUAAUGCAUUUGUUGGAGAUUUUAGAAUAAAAAAAGCGUAUUUCACACAACAAAAUGAGGGGCCAAGCACCCAGUUCACUUGCUCCUGAGGUAGAAGAACAUCUUUUACAAGGUACUAUGUAAUUGCUCACUGCAGAAGGGAACAUUUGUAACCCAAUGAGGAUACACCCAUGAAAUAUCUGAUACUAUAUUUAUAAAACUGUGACUAUUUCAUGUAUAUUUACCUCAUUUUGUCUGUGCCUUCUCAGUACAGAUUUUUUUUUUGCAAAUGUUUACUAAAAUAAAACCAACAAAUGAAAGAAUGUGUGAAAGUGACUUGUGAGGUAUCGAUUGUAAAACAAAAAAAUCUUUAUUUUAAAUAAAGAACCUGAAGCACUUGUUUCAGCAUAAUUCAGAAACUCAAACAGGUUUCAUAAUUGUUCCUAUCAUAUUCUUGAUAUAAAUAUCUUUUUUGACAUUAAUUCAUAUCAGUAUUCCACAUCUUGUGUAAUUGAUGCUGUAUUGACUGUUACGCACUCAGUUACGUAACUGCUUCUGCCAGUUAAGUAAUUGAUCUCAAAUAUUGACCAAAAACAUUUUUUUAAACCAGUGCACAGUUUAAGCAAAAUGAAACAGUGUUUUACAAACAGAUCCCUUUCCUUUAAACCAGAUGCAUACAACAAAUAAACAACUAUGAAGACUUGCAUUUCUGAGUUGAAAAAAACUAGUCGAACAUUGUAGCCAUUUCACUUUGGUCUAAAAUAAUCUUUCUUGAAUGCAAUCAUCUUCAGCAAAGCCAUGCCACUAAAUGUAUGUACAUAUUACAACAGGUUUCAACAGAAACACCUGAA